AUGUAUUCAGCUACAUCAUCUUCGGCAGCAUUUGUUGUUCUUCUGUUGUUGGUGGCCACGGCUCUUUAUCUUUCGCUGAAGACAAGAUACAAUGAAGAGAUACAUUUGAAAGUUGAAAUGUUUCUCAAUACAUAUGGUACAUCAAAACCCACAAGGUACACUUUCUCCGAAAUCAAGAAGAUAACGCGACGGUUCAAGGAUAAAUUAGGACAUGGUGGAUUUGGAAGUGUGUACAAAGGUGAGCUACCAAAUGGAGUUCCUGUGGCUAUCAAGAUGCUAGAGAACUCUAAUGGAGAGGGGCAGGAAUUCAUCAACGAGGUUGCAACCAUCGGGAGAAUCCACCAUACAAAUAUUGUCCGCCUCCUUGGCUUUUGUUCUGAAGGGACAAGAAGGGCUCUUAUUUAUGAAUUCAUGCCUAAAGAUUCAUUAGAGAAAUAUAUAUUCUCGGGUAGUUCUAUUGUUUCUCAAGAACACCUGGUCCCAGACAAAAUGCUAGUUAUUGCUUUAGGCAUUGCUAGAGGAAUGGAAUACUUACAUCAAGGAUGCAAUCAGCGCAUCCUCCACUUGAACAUCAGGCCUCACAAUAUCUUACUGGACUACAGCUUCAAUCCGAAGAUCUCUGACUUCAGCCUCGCAAAGUUGUGUCCAAGGGACCAAAGCAUCAUUACCUUGACUGCGGCAUGAGGCACUAUGGGCUACAUCGCACCAGAACUAUACUCUAGGAACUUUGGAGGGAUAUCCUACAAGUCAGAUGUCUAUAGUUUUGGUUUGCUGGUGUUAGAAAUGGUGAGCCGAAAGAGGAACUCAGACCCAAGUAUUGAGAGCCGGAACCAGGUAUAUCUCCCGGAGCGGAUCUAUGAAAAAGUCAUGACUGGAGAGGAACUAGUGCUUACUGUGGAAGUGACACCAGAAGGGAAAGAAAAGGUGAGACAGCUGGCUAUUGUGGCACUCUGGUGUAUUCAGUGGAACCCAAGAAACCGGCCAUCGAUGACAAAAGUGAUAAACAUGUUGUUGGGAAGUUUGCAGGAUCUGCAGAUGCCCCCUAAGCCCUUUGUCCCAUCUGAAAAUCGCCGCGCACCAUAA
rnacentral:rRNA from 1 species